UACAGAGGGGGCAAGCGUUGUUCGGAAUUACUGGGCGUAAAGGGCGCGUAGGCGGCCUGUUAAGUCGAACGUGAAAUCCCCGGGCUCAACCCGGGAACUGCGUCCGAUACUGGCAGGCUUGAAUCCGGGAGAGGGAUGUGGAAUUCCAGGUGUAGCGGUGAAAUGCGUAGAUAUCAGGAGGAACACCGAUGGCGAAGGCAGCCCCCUGGGACCUGACUGACGCUCAUGUACGAAAGCGUGGGGAGCAAACAGG
rnacentral:rRNA from 1 species